GAUGAACGCUGGCGGCGUGCUUAACACAUGCAAGUCGAACGAUUAACCCAUCUUCGGAUGGUUAUAAAGUGGCGAACGGGUGAGUAACACGUGACUAACCUGCCUUUCACAUUGGGAUAACUACCGGAAACGAUAGCUAAUACCAAAUACUCCGGCACUUCCGCAUGGUCGUGCCGGGAAAGCUCCGGCGGUGAAAGAUGGGGUCGCGGCCCAUUAGGUAGUUGGUGGGGUAACGGCCUACCAAGCCCGCGAUGGGUAGCCGGGUUGAGAGACUGAUCGGCCACAUUGGGACUGAGAUACGGCCCAG
rnacentral:rRNA from 1 species